rnacentral:rRNA from 1 species
GAUUUGAAAGGCGCUUUCGGGUGUCGCUGAUGGAUGGACCCGCGGUGCAUUAGCUAGUUGGUGAGGUAACGGCUCACCAAGGCGACGAUGCAUAGCCGACCUGAGAGGGUGAUCGGCCACAUUGGGACUGAGACACGGCCCAAACUCCUACGGGAGGCAGCAGUAGGGAAUCUUCGGCAAUGGACGAAAGUCUGACCGAGCAACGCCGCGUGAGUGAAGAAGGUUUUCGGAUCGUAAAACUCUGUUGUUAGAGAAGAACAAGGAUGAGAGUAACUGUUCAUCCCUUGACGGUAUCUAACCAGAAAGCCACGGCUAACUACGUGCCAGCAGCCGCGGUAAUACGUAGGUGGCAAGCGUUGUCCGGAUUUAUUGGGCGUAAAGCGAGCGCAGGCGGUUUCUUAAGUCUGAUGUGAAAGCCCCCGGCUCAACCGGGGAGGGUCAUUGGAAACUGGGAGACUUGAGUGCAGAAGAGGAGAGUGGAAUUCCAUGUGUAGCGGUGAAAUGCGUAGAUAUAUGGAGGAACACCAGUGGCGAAGGCGGCUCUCUGGUCUGUAACUGACGCUGAGGCUCGAAAGCGUGGGGAGCAAACAGGAUUAGAUACCCUGGUAGUCCACGCCGUAAACGAUGAGUGCUAAGUGUUGGAGGGUUUCCGCCCUUCAGUGCUGCAGCUAACGCAUUAAGCACUCCGCCUGGGGAGUACGACCGCAAGGUUGAAACUCAAAGGAAUUGACGGGGGCCCGCACAAGCGGUGGAGCAUGUGGUUUAAUUCGAAGCAACGCGAAGAACCUUACCAGGUCUUGACAUCCUUUGACCACUCUAGAGAUAGAGCUUCCCCUUCGGGGGCAAAGUGACAGGUGGUGCAUGGUUGUCGUCAGCUCGUGUCGUGAGAUGUUGGGUUAAGUCCCGCAACGAGCGCAACCCUUAUUGUUAGUUGCCAUCAUUUAGUUGGGCACUCUAGCAAGACUGCCGGUGACAAACCGGAGGAAGGUGGGGAUGACGUCAAAUCAUCAUGCCCCUUAUGACCUGGGCUACACACGUGCUACAAUGGGAAGUACAACGAGUCGCAAAGUCGCGAGGCUAAGCUAAUCUCUUAAAGCUUCUCUCAGUUCGGAUUGUAGGCUGCAACUCGCCUACAUGAAGCCGGAAUCGCUAGUAAUCGCGGAUCAGCACGCCGCGGUGAAUACGUUCCCGGGCCUUGUACACACCGCCCGUCACACCACGAGAGUUUGUAACACCCGAAGUCGGUGAGGUAACCUUUUGGAGCCAGCCGCCUAAGGUGGGAUAGAUGAUUGGGGUUAAGUCGUAACAAGGUAGCCGUAUCGGAAGGUGCGGCUGGAUCACCU